rnacentral:rRNA from 1 species
UACGUAGGGUGCGAGCGUUUAAUCGGAAUUACUGGGCGUAAAGCGCGCGUAGGCGGCUUUGUAAGUUAGAGGUGAAAGCCCGGGGCUCAACCCCGGAACUGCCUUUAAAACUGCAUCGCUUGAAUCCAGGAGAGGUGAGUGGAAUUCCGAGUGUAGAGGUGAAAUUCGUAGAUAUUCGGAAGAACACCAGUGGCGAAGGCGGCUCACUGGACUGGUAUUGACGCUGAGGUGCGAAAGCGUGGGGAGCAAACAGGG